UGUCUUAGGCAUGCAAGUCGAACGGGCCCGCAAGGGUACCGUGGCAAACGGGUGCGUAACACAUUGGUCACCUGCCCCGAGGUUCGGGACAACCCUUCGAAAGAGGGGCUAAUCCCGGAUGUGCUCCGACGCUUAUUGUGUCGGAGGAAAGGCGCAAGCCACCUUGGGAGGGGCCUAUGGUCCACCAGCUUGUUGGUAGGGUAACGGCCUACCAAGGCUUUGACGGAUAGCGGGCGUGAGAGCGCGACCCGCCUCACUGGGACUGAGACACUGCCCAGACUCCUACGGGAGGCUGCAGUCAAGAAUCUUCCCCAAUGGCCGAAAGGCUGAGGGAGCGACGCCGCGUGUAGGAAGUUGCCCUCGGGUUGUAAACUAC
rnacentral:rRNA from 1 species